UUGCUUCUCUUGAGAGCGGCGGACGGGUGAGUAAUGCCUAGGAAUCUGCCUGGUAGUGGGGGAUAACGUUCGGAAACGGACGCUAAUACCGCAUACGUCCUACGGGAGAAAGCAGGGGACCUUCGGGCCUUGCGCUAUCAGAUGAGCCUAGGUCGGAUUAGCUAGUUGGUGGGGUAAUGGCUCACCAAGGCUACGAUCCGUAACUGGUCUGAGAGGAUGAUCAGUCACACUGGAACUGAGACACGGUCCAGACUCCUACGGGAGGCAGCAGUGGGGAAUAUUGGACAAUGGGCGAAAGCCUGAUCCAGCCAUGCCGCGUGUGUGAAGAAGGUCUUCGGAUUGUAAAGCACUUUAAGUUGGGAGGAAGGGUUGUAGAUUAAUACUCUGCAAUUUUGACGUUACCGACAGAAUAAGCACCGGCUAACUCUGUGCCAGCAGCCGCGGUAAUACAGAGGGUGCAAGCGUUAAUCGGAAUUACUGGGCGUAAAGCGCGCGUAGGUGGUUUGUUAAGUUGGAUGUGAAAUCCCCGGGCUCAACCUGGGAACUGCAUUCAAAACUGACUGACUAGAGUAUGGUAGAGGGUGGUGGAAUUUCCUGUGUAGCGGUGAAAAUGCGUAGAUAUAGGAAGGAACACCAGUGGCGAAGGCGACCACCCUG
rnacentral:rRNA from 1 species